rnacentral:rRNA from 1 species
UACGAAGGGGGCUAGCGUUGUUCGGAAUUACUGGGCGUAAAGGGCGCGUAGGCGGCCUUCUAAGUCAGACGUGAAAUCCCCCGGCUUAACCUGGGAACUGCGUCUGAUACUGGGAGGCUUGAGUAUGGGAGAGGGAUGUAGAAUUCCAGGUGUAGCGGUGAAAUGCGUAGAUAUCUGGAGGAAUACCGGUGGCGAAGGCGGCAUCCUGGACCAUAACUGACGCUGAGGCGCGAAAGCUAGGGGAGCAAACGGG